CUUUUUGGACCCAAGACUAGCUUUGCAGGCCGAUCCGGGCAGAAGACAUUGUCAAGUGGGGAGUUUAGCUGGGGCGACACAUCUGUUAAAAGAUAAUGCAGGUGUCCUAAGAUGAGCUCAAUGAGAACUGAAAUCUCAUGUGGAACAGAAGGGUAAAAGCUCAUUUGAUUUUGAUUUCUAGUACGAAUACAAUCUGUGAAUGUGUGGCCUAACGAUCCAUUAGACCUUCAGAAUUCGAAGCUAGAGGUGUCAGAAAAGUUACCACAGGGAUAACUGGCUUGUGGCAGCCAAGCGUUCAUAGCGACGUUGCUUUUUGACCCUUUGAAGUCGGCUCUUCCUAUCAGUAAGCAGAAUUCAGCAAGUGUUGGAUUGUUCACCCACCAAUAGGGAACGUGAGCUGGGUUUAGACCGUCGUGAGACAAGUUAGUU
rnacentral:ncRNA from 1 species